rnacentral:misc_RNA from 1 species
AAAAAUGAUAAAAACUAUCAGCGGACCCCUAGGAAUCUCUUGCAAAUUGGUCCACUGAUACAAUAAAAUCUUCUGAUUACGAUGUUGAUUAUAAAUAAGCGCGGCACGACCUACGAACGGAGUCAUAAGAGGUCAAAGGUCACGCACCGUUGCCCAUUAUCAAAAAUACAUUGUAUGCGGACCCCUAGGAAUUUUUUGAAACUCAUUUCUACUAUAUAUUUUCAUCUUCUGAUCACAAUGGUGUUAAUAUCUAGGCGCGGCACGCCCUACGAGCUGAGAUAUGACAUUACCAAAUUAUGCGUGGUUGCCUUUUACAAAAUAAAAUUUAUGUGCGGACCCCUAGGAAUCUAUUGAAAUUUAUCCCAGCGAUAGAUUAAAAUCUCCUGAUCACGAUGGUGAUAAAAUCUAAGCGCGGCAAGCCUAAAAAACUGAGAAAUCAAAGAUCAAAAAUAAGAAUCAAAUGAUUGGCUUUAUGACGCAUGGCAGACCAAAUUGGCGCAAACAAUAUUUCUGUGUGAAUAUCGUGGUGUGAUAUUGUGCUGGUUUUAAUCGAAUAAUCGAAGGUCUAUUUGCUCAAAUAAUCUGGUGCGGCUGAUAGACGGCAUGCUGCUUCCCGGGUGAUCGGGCGCCUCUCCGGAGUCCGGCUGCGUGGUCGUACUUAGUCGACCUACCUCGUUGGCCACCGAUGCACCUCCUGUCGGGAAUUACACAUUGUCGGGGCGAUGUCGUGGUCUGCCGGUGAAGAGGCGCCGCCGCCGCCGCCGCCGCCGCUGGCCGUGGCGUCCUCGUCCUCAAACGGCGGCACCGCCGUACCGGCGGACAUCCCCGACUGCGUGCUGUCUGAGCUGUGGGCGGCACACUGGACGGCGUCGGCUCGCCGCUGAUCGACAUCUACACGGAGACGGACUGCUCGUCCCAGGUGUCUGAUGAGGAGGCGUCUGCAGGCGGCGGCGUCGCCUUCACGGAGCUAAUCGAGGUGAUUGAGGAUGGUGACUGCGGCGCCGUCUCCGGGACCGGCAGACUCAUCUGGGUUGUGGAGAAUGACGUGACGAAGGCUGGUGAGUUGAAGACGAGCCGCUCAUCACCGCCACAACGGGCUGCGGAAGUGAAUUGCACCCGGUCUGCCGCAGCGCCGAGCAAUCUCGUCAGCCAGCGAGGCCGCGCGAAGGAGAUAUCUGGCCCUCCGAGAUCGCCGGUGACGCCGAAGAGACGCACCCCGGACGUCGAAUCAGCCUGUGACCGCAAGUCUGUGCCGCGAUCAGUGAACGCUGACGUGGUAGCUCCGGUGCAGGCCUGCGCCGGAGCUACCGCGACUGUCGAGCCGCCGCCUUGCGCUGACGGCACUGGCACGGUGUCGGGACGGGUGUGCGGUGUGUCAGCCGGCGGGGACGGUUCGGAGACCGAGCUGCGUGUGCCGACUGACCGGACGGGCCUUCCAGCGCUGACGCCGGAACAGCGGCGCCGCAUAAGCUACCAGGGCAUUUGGGAGGCAACAAGACAAGGACUGUCACCAAGGCUGAAGUCGUUCUGGGUGCGUGUCCUGGAGAGACGCGAUGGGAAGCCGAAGAACGCCAAACAGCGAGCGGCUUUGUCCCGGAAAGCCGACGCACUGCGCCGAGAUUUUGCCAGAGGACAUUUAGGAAGAAGGCGACAAAGCUUGCCAACGCGCCAUCAGCCUGUCGGUGUGCGGAAGCGCAGGUUGUCGGUGUGCGGCCGCAGUCACUCAGACGACUGAGAGUGGCAACACCGGCCAACCUCUACCUGGCUGCUCUCCGCUGAUACGCUGGAUCGGAGCGUCGCCGCCGCCGUCCGACUGGUGGCAUCGCGCCAGAGCUGCACCGACGCAGUGCUGGCCCUGCUGCUCGACACGGCCGCGCUGCUGCGAAGUCGACUCAUUGGCCGGAUCCACUGUGUGCCUGCUGAUGCUCACCCGCCGGCAGCCGGCGGUCACGGCCUGGUGGCGGCACGGCGGCGCCGACCUGACUCAGUGUCACCAGGGCAGAUAGUGUUUUGGACCACCUGAUCAAUGACGAGUGUGGGCGGACAUAUCGCUUGUGCCGCGGUAUUGAGCGCCUAGAGUUGGUGCGAGAAGAGCUGGUCAGUAUGUGUAUGUGCUGAUAUCAAGUGCCGGUGGUGGCUGUUAUUGGAGAACCAGCUGGCCAGCUGCAGUGUCUCUGAACGCGCCGCUGAAUGCCGCCGAGUCGGCUGCAUAGCUUAUAUCUAUCAGCUGCAUACGGUGGACUGCUGACUGUUGUCCACAAGGUACCGCCGUCUUUCGGUUGGCUGUUCGUCACAAACGCGGUAAUUUUCGUGACGAAUGCCGACGCGGCGCGUGUUUCUCAUAUCGAGUAACUUCUCACAGUGUGAAGUGAAUAUCGUCGGCUUAUUGUAGACUGCUCAUGUACGAGUUUGAUCUGUGGUGGGGAUGACGGACUGUUGGCUCUUAUAAUCACCGAGAGCGUUCCGCCGGCUUGCGCGCGUGGAUCUCACCGCGCCUGGAGACGCUGCGGCCGAUGCUGAUGCGCGGCUGUCUGGUGAUAACCAAGCGCGGCUAGAUGAUCUGCGAACUGCUUUCUACGCACGAGACGGUGCUACUCGAGCUGGACGCCAGCGCCGGCGCCGGCACUCAUCUGCUAGAGCGUAUAAACUUAACAGCGUGUCCGUGGGCAAGUUGUUCGAGCGCUCGGUGACCUGAAUUUGGAGGAGCGGGAGUCUACCCUGGCGCUCCCGAACUACCGGCUCACCAAGAAGCCGCACCUGGCCGUGGUGGCGCACAUUUUCGCAACGUUCGGCUACUCGUCUCAGCUGAGCUGGACCGGCGCAGGCUCUCCGAUGUGGCACUGAUGUCGCACUGUGAGCUGAGCUUGGGUGCCUGGAGUCGUUCGGUGGAGCACGACCCGGGCCUGCGUGCUGUACUGCUAGAGAGGCCGCGGGUCGCUGGACUCUAUGUGAUGAAUGUGUGUGAGCGCGUUCCGCGGCUGCCUUCGGCAGCGAUGCGCUGACUCGCUGCCGUCACUGACUCGCUCAGCACCCAGCUGAGCUCGCUGAUACUCAUGCUCUCAGGACUGUUCGCCUCUAAGACGUUGCGCGUGCAAUCACCAUGCAGCGAUGGUAGCUGAUGUGUCCGCUUGAGUAGGACAAAGUGAUGCACUUGAACAUACUCGUUCUGUUCUCUGCUAUGUUCUGUUCACGUUCUGUUGGUGCGCGGUACCGGCCGUGCCGACUGCACCGCGUGCCAAGACGGCGUGUCGCGUCGCGGACGUGGCGUUUCUACUGCGGCUUGCAGUCUUGCGGAUUGAGGUGGACAAGUCUGACGUUAAAGCUGAUCUCGGGCGCUGGAGGUCGUGAGCAUUAAUGGCAUGCCCUGCAAAUGAUAAAUAAAUAUUGUUUUCCUUUC